rnacentral:lncRNA from 1 species
AUAUGGAUAGUGAACAACAUCACACAUUCAAACUCAAGCUUAAUGAACAUGCCUCAUGUUGAGGGCUUCAAAACCAAACAUGGCAUAGUGUUAAACAUCAUAAAGUAAGCAUGGCAUAAUGGAAAACAAUAUGAAGUAAGCAUGGUGAGCAAGAGAAAGCAAGUAGUGAGCAAGUAUGAAUGAGCAUGAGCAAGGCCAUGGAAGAGAGUGAGUGAAAUGUUUACUUAGUGGAUGAAAG